rnacentral:rRNA from 1 species
UACGGGGGGGCAAGCGUUGUUCGGAAUUACUGGGCGGUAAAGGGCUCGUAGGUGCCAGCUAAUAGCAGACGUGAAAUCCCUCGACGUCUAACCUGGGGGAACUGCGUCUGAUACUGGAUGGCUUGAGGUUGGGAGAGGGAUGCGGAAUUCCAGGUGUAGCGGUGAAAUGCGUAGAUAUCUGGAGGAACACCGGUGGCGAAGGCGGCUUUCUGGUCUGUAACUGACGCGAGGCGCGAAAGCGUGGGGGAGCAAACAGG